UACGGGGGGGGGCAAGCGUUGUUCGGAAUUACUGGGCGUAAAGGCUCGUAGGCGGCCAACUAAGUCAGACGUGAAAUCCCUCGGCUUAACCGGGGAACUGCAUCUGAUACUGGAUGGCUUGAGUUCGGGAGAGGGAUGCGGAAUUCCAGGUGUAGCGGUGAAUGACGUAGAUAUCUGGAGGAACACCGGUGGCGAAGGCGGCAUCCUGGACCGCAACUGACGCUGAGACACGAAAGCGUGGGGAGCGAACAGG
rnacentral:rRNA from 1 species